rnacentral:misc_RNA from 1 species
GAUGAAGAACGUAGCGAAAUGCGAUAAGUAAUGUGAAUUGCAGAAUUCAGUGAAUCAUCGAAUCUUUGAACACACAUUGCGCCCGCCAGUAUUCUGGCGGGCAUGCCUGUUCGAGCGUCAUUACAACCCUCAGGCCCCCGGGCCUGGCGUUGGGGAUCGGCGGAAGCCCCCUGCGGGCACAACGCCGUCCCCCAAAUACAGUGGCGGUCCCGCCGCAGCUUCCAUUGCGUAGUAGCUAACACCUCGCAACUGGAGAGCGGCGCGGCCACGCCGUAAAACACCCAACUUCUGAAUGUUGACCUCGAAUCAGGUAGGAAUACCCGCUGAACUUAAGCAUAUCAAUAAGCGGAGGA